rnacentral:tRNA from 1 species
GGCCCGUUGGUCAAGCGGUUAAGACACCGCCCUUUCACGGCGGUAACACGGGGUCGAAUCCCGUACCGGUCUCCU